UACGUAGGGUGCGAGCGUUAAUCGGAAUUACUGGGCGUAAAGCGUGCGCAGGCGGUUCGUUGUGUCGGCGGUGAAAGCCCCGGGCUCAACCUGGGAAUGGCCGUUGAAACUGGCGAACUGGAGUGUGGCAGAGGGGGGUGGAAUUCCGCGUGUAGCAGUGAAAUGCGUAGAGAUGUGGAGGAACACCAGUGGCGAAGGCGGCUUUCUGGUCUGUAACUGACGCUGAGGCGCGAAAGCGUGGGGAGCAAACAGG
rnacentral:rRNA from 1 species